rnacentral:rRNA from 1 species
UACGUAGGGGGCAAGCGUUGUCCGGAUUUAUUGGGCGUAAAGAGCGUGUAGGCGGCCUGGUAGGUCAGCUGUGAAAACUCGAGGCUCAACCUCGAGACGCCGGUUGAAACCAUCAGGCUAGAGUCCGGAAGAGGAGAGUGGAAUUCCCGGCGUAGCGGUGAAAUGCGCAGAUAUCGGGAAGAACACCCGUGGCUAAGGCGGCUCUCUAGUACGGUACUGACGCUGAGACGCGAAAGCGUGGGGAGCGAACAGG